rnacentral:rRNA from 1 species
GACGAACGCUGGCGGCGUGCUUAACACAUGCAAGUCGAACGGAAAGGCCCUGCUUUUGUGGGGUGCUCGAGUGGCGAACGGGUGAGUAACACGUGAGUAACCUGCCCUUGACUUCGGGAUAACUUCAGGAAACUGGGGCUAAUAUCGGAUAGGAGAUCCUGCUGCAUGGUGGGGGUUGGAAAGUUUCGGCGGUUGGGGCUAGACUCGCGGCUUAUGAGCUUGUUGGUGGGGUAGUGGCUUACCAAGGCUUAGACGGGUAGCCGGCCUGGGAGCGUGACCGGCGACAAGGGGCCUACGAUACGGCGCAGAAGCCAACGGGAGGCAGCAGUGGGGAAUAUUGCGGAAUGGGCGGAAGCCUGUUGCGGCAACGCCGGGUGCGUGAUAACGGCCUUCGGGUUAUGAACAGCUGUCGCCUGUGACGAGGCGGGAUUGACGGUAAUGGGUAAGGAAGCACCGGCUAACUACGUG